ACAUAAAAUGCCAUGAGCAUUGCGCCGACCAACACCUUUGUCUAUUGCCAACUUACGGAGAUAUGAGAUUCGUAAUUGUUUUCGCGCUGACAGUAUUAGCUCUCGUGCUAAGCUGUGACGCCGAGUGUCACCAUGACGACGUAUCCACGUGUUCUCUGAGCUGUCCUAAUGGGCAGAUAACCGGAUGUGUGCAUAGCCAGUGCCAGUGUGUUUCGACAUGCGCACAGGCAGGGGACUGCAGUUCGUUUGGCGAAUGCAAACACGGCUGGGAAUGCAUAAACGGUGGAUGUAUUUGUGAUUAACCAAUUGGUGUAUCGAUACAUUAAAAUAAAGUAUCAUACUGUU